GAUUUCAUAGUGUAGCGGUUAGCACAUCUGCUUUACACGCAGAAAGUCCUGGGUGCGCACCCCAGUGGAGCG
rnacentral:tRNA from 1 species